UACAGAGGGGGCAAGCGUUGUUCGGAAUUACUGGGCGUAAAGGGCGCGUAGGCGGCCUUCUAAGUCGAACGUGAAAUCCCUGGGCUCAACCCAGGAACUGCGUCCGAUACUGGAAGGCUUGAAUCCGGGAGAGGGAUGCGGAAUUCCCGGUGUAGUGGUGAAAUGCGUAGAUAUCGGGAGGAACACCAGUGGCGAAGGCGGCUUUCUGGCCCGUUCUUGACGCUGAGGCGCGAAAGCUAGGGUAGCAAACGGG
rnacentral:rRNA from 1 species